GUACUAGGCGGGGAGCUAGUGGUGCCCUGUAACCCACAAUCCACUACAGUGGGGCUGAUGUGCUCUAAGCGGGGUAAAUUUGGUUGUGUUGAGUAACUUAUAUUCAUGUUGAAAUCAAGGUCUCAUACAAUAUUGCCCUACGAAUCAUGUCAGGGUCGGAAGACAGCAGCAUUAAGUAGAAUACAGUAUGUGCUAUGAGGUUGCUUUGGUGGAGU
rnacentral:SRP_RNA from 1 species